AUGUGAUUCGGGGAAAGAAGAAAAAUGUGAGGAGGUUAUUUCGUUCCCGCGAAGCGUAUCCCCUCCGUUCUUCUCUCACCUACAACAUUCUACUAAAAUGGCGACGCCCUCUUUUUCAUUCCAUCCGAUCCCAAAUUUUACCAAAAAUUCUUCUUCUUCUUCUUCUUCCUCAUCCUCGUUGCGGCACCGCCAAAUUGUCCCCAGCUUAGACUUAUCCACUUCCUCUGAUGGUACUGAAAACUUGGAUUGUCGACUUGUAUUCGAUCGAAGACAAGUGUUGCUCUCGUCUGUGGGAGUUAUAGCAACUUCCAUUUGUAAUGCUGGAAGGGCUUCAGCUGAAUUUGCUGACAUGCCUGCUUUGAGAGGAAAGGACUAUGGGAAGACAAAGAUGCGGUAUCCUGACUAUACUGAAACUCAAUCAGGUCUCCAGUAUAAGGAUUUGAGAGUUGGAAGUGGUCCCACUCCGAAGAUCGGAGAUACAGUGGUGGUUGACUGGGAUGGUUACACAAUAGGUUAUUAUGGUCGCAUAUUUGAAGCUCGUAACAAGACGAAAGGUGGUUCUUUUGAGGGGGGUGAUAAGGACUUCUUCAAAUUCAGAGUAGGAUCUCAAGAGGCUGUAAGAAAGGUUUCUAGCAGAGUUUGUGUUUAUCAUAUGUUCAGGUCAUACCGGCAUUCGAGGAAGCUAUUACUGGGAUUGCACUUGGAGGUAUCAGAAGAAUCAUAGUUCCUCCGGAGCUGGGAUACCCCGAUUAUGACUAUGAUAAGAAAGGUCCAAGACCAACAACAUUUUCGGGACAAAGAGCUUUGAGUUUUGUGCUGAGGAACCAAGGAUUGAUUGAUAAGACACUCCUGUUUGAUAUUGAACUUCUCAAAAUCAUACCAAAUUGAAGUUCCUUUUUGCUCAGUUUUCGCCAUGACAAGAUUAACUUCCAGUAGGAUGAAAGGAGUAUCAAGACUGAUCAUUCCUUAUAGAGGUUUAAGAUCAAACACAUCAAAUUGUUGAAAGAUUGAUUUUGAAAAGCACUGUAGUAACAAUGAUGGGGUGUAAGGUAUUGUUGAUGUAACAACAUCCCUUGUGUUCAUAGAUAUUUGACUGUUUCUUGUGAAAGUGAUCCUUCAAGA